rnacentral:rRNA from 1 species
GAGUUUGAUCCUGGCUCAGGAUGAACGCUGGCGGCGUGCCUAAUACAUGCAAGUCGAACGAAACUUCUUUAUCACCGAGUGCUUGCACUCACCGAUAAAGAGUUGAGUGGCGAACGGGUGAGUAACACGUGGGCAACCUGCCCAAAAGAGGGGGAUAACACUUGGAAACAGGUGCUAAUACCGCAUAACCAUAGUUACCGCAUGGUAACUAUGUAAAAGGUGGCUAUGCUACCGCUUUUGGAUGGGCCCGCGGCGCAUUAGCUAGUUGGUAGGGUAAAGGCUUACCAAGGCAAUGAUGCGUAGCCGAAUUGAGAGGUUGAUCGGCCACAUUGGGACUGAGACACGGCCCAAACUCCUACGGGAGGCAGCAGUAGGGAAUCUUCCACAAUGGGCGAAAGCCUGAUGGAGCAACGCCGCGUGGGUGAAGAAGGUCUUCGGAUCGUAAAACCCUGUUGUUAGAGAAGAAAGUGCGUGAGAGUAACUGUUCACGUUUCGACGGUAUCUAACCAGAAAGCCACGGCUAACUACGUGCCAGCAGCCGCGGUAAUACGUAGGUGGCAAGCGUUAUCCGGAUUUAUUGGGCGUAAAGGGAACGCAGGCGGUCUUUUAAGUCUGAUGUGAAAGCCUUCGGCUUAACCGGAGUAGUGCAUUGGAAACUGGGAGACUUGAGUGCAGAAGAGGAGAGUGGAACUCCAUGUGUAGCGGUGAAGUGCGUAGAUAUAUGGAAGAACACCAGUGGCGAAAGCGGCUCUCUGGUCUGUAACUGACGCUGAGGUUCGAAAGCGUGGGUAGCAAACAGGAUUAGAUACCCUGGUAGUCCACGCCGUAAACGAUGAAUGCUAAGUGUUGGAGGGUUUCCGCCCUUCAGUGCUGCAGCUAACGCAAUAAGCAUUCCGCCUGGGGAGUACGACCGCAAGGUUGAAACUCAAAGGAAUUGACGG